rnacentral:rRNA from 1 species
CAAGGCGAACGGAAAGGCCCUUUUUUUGUGGGGUGCUCGAGUGGCGAACGGGUGAGUAACACGUGAGUAACCUGGCCUUGACUUUGGGAUAACUUCAGGAAACUGGGGCUAAUACCGGAUAGGAGCUCCUGCUGCAUGGUGGGGGUUGGAAAGUUUCGGCGGCUGGGGAUGGACUCGCGGCUUAUCAGCUUGUUGGUGGGGUAGUGGCUUACCAAGGCUUUGACGGGUAGCCGGCCUGAAAGGGUGACCGGCCACAUUGGGACUGAGAUACGGCCCAGACUCCUACGGGAGGCAGGCAGUGGGGAAUAUUGCACAAUGGGCGGAAGCCUGAUGCAGCAACGCCGCGUGCGGGAUGACGGCCUUCGGGUUGUAAACCGCUUUCGCCUGUGACGAAACGUGAAUGACGGUAAUGGGUAAAGAAGCACCGGCUAACUACGUGCCAGCAGCCGCGGUGAUACGUACGGUGCGAGCGUUGUCCGGAUUUAUUGGGCGUAAAGGACUCGUAGGCGGAUGAUCGCGUCGGAAGUGCAAUCUUGGGGCUUAACCCUGAGCGUGCUUUCGAUACGGGUUGACUUGAGGAAGGUAGGGGAGAAUGGAAUUCCUGGUGGAGCGGUGGAAUGCGCAGAUAUCAAGAGGAACACCACUGGCGAAGGCGGGUCUUUGUGGCCUUUCCCUGACGCUGAGGAGUGAGAACGCGGGGAGCCGAACCGGCUUAGAUACCCUGGUAGUUCACGCUGUAAACGGUGGAUAUUAGGUGUGGGGUGCAUUCCACGGGUUCCCAUGCCGUAGCUAACGCUAUAAGUACCUCGCCUGGGGAGUUCGGCCGCAAGGCUAAAACUCAAAGGAAUUGACGGGGCCCCGCACCAACGGCGGAGCCUGCGGAUUAAUUUGAUGCAACGGGUAGAACCUUACCCGGGUUUGACAUGGAUCGGGAGUGCUCAGAGAUGGGUGUUCCUCUUUUGGGGUCGGUUCACAGGUGGUGCAUGGCUGUCGUCAGCUCGUGUCGUGAGAUGUUGGGUUAAGUCCCGCAACGAGCGCAACCCUUGUUC